UACGUAGGGUGCGAGCGUUAAUCGGAAUUACUGGGCGUAAAGCGUGCGCAGGCGGUGAUGUAAGACAGAUGUGAAAUCCCCGGGCUCAACCUGGGAACUGCAUUUGUGACUGCAUCGCUAGAGUACGGCAGAGGGGAUGGAAUUCCGCGUGUAAGCAGUGAAUGCGUAGAUAUGCGGAGAACACCGAUGGCGAAGGCAAUCCCUGGGCCUGUACUGACGCUCAUGCACGAAAGCGUGGGGGAGCAAACAGG
rnacentral:rRNA from 1 species